rnacentral:sRNA from 2 species
GACCGAACGCCGCCGAGUCGUGUCCGCCACCUGCGGGCGCGAGCCGGGGACCCACCGCAGUACUGGGGUGAAUCCCACCCGCGAGUCCCACUCGCGGGCCGGUAGGGCUGCUUCCCGCCCGAACCCGUCAGCUAACUCGGUAGGCGGCUCACGGAAGAACG